rnacentral:tRNA from 1 species
AAAAGAGUAGUUUAAAAAAAAUUUAUGGUUUCGGCCCUUAUGCUUUUGGUUAAAAUCCAAACUCUUUUU